rnacentral:rRNA from 1 species
UACGUAGGCAGCGAGCGUUGUUCGGAGUUACUGGGCGUAAAGGGUGUGUAGGCGGUUUUUUAAGUUUGGUGUGAAAUCUCCCGGCUCAACUGGGAGGGUGCGCCGAAUACUGAAUGACUUGGAGUGCGGGAGAGGAAAGUGGAAUUCCUGGUGUAGCGGUGAAAUGCGUAGAUAUCAGGAGGAACACCGGUGGUGUAGACGGCUUUCUGGACCGUAACUGAGGCUGAGACACGAAAGCGUGGGUAGCAAACAGG